AUUCCGGGAUCGGGCGCGUAUCGGUUCAGAUGGUGCGGUCUACCUGGGCCUCUCGGGGCGCUGGGUGUGUUCCGUAUCCACUCGUCCGGUGCGUUUUUGUUUCCCGUUCCGGUGAGCUGCACUUCUCCCCUAGUAGGACGUCGCGACCCGUUGGGGAUUCGUCGAUCUCAUGGCCCGGAGUGGAGCCCGUCUCGGAGCGCGUGCACUCGUUGUCGCGUUGCCGUGGGCGGACCUCCGGUGACCUGGUCGGCACCCGACGGUAUCGAAGCUUGGGUAAGGGACCGCACACAAGUUGCGUUUGAUGCCCCACGCGAGGGCUGUCACUCGAACAGGUCCGAACCCGGUCAGCGGCGCUACUGCUUUCGGUACUCGUCCGACCCGUCUUGAAACACGGACCAAGGAGUCUAACAUGUGCGCGAGUCAUUGGGCCGCACGAAACCUAAAGGCGAAAUGAAAGUGAAGGAGCACGUAAGUGCUCCUAGGGAGGAUGCUCGGUCCUAUGUGGCCGGGCCGCACUCCCGGGGCGUCUCAUUCUCUCUGAGAAGUGGCGCACCCAGAGCGUACACGUUGGGACCCGAAAGAUGGUGAACUAUGCCUGGCCAGGACGAAGUCAGGGGAAACCCUGAUGGAGGUCCGUAGCGAUUCUGACGUGCAAAUCGAUCGUCGGAGCU
rnacentral:rRNA from 1 species